GUGACUCACAACUCUCCAUGGAUGAGCCCACAAUUAUUUCUGCAAAUACCUCUCAGGUUAAGUGGAAUGACAGACCCAGACUAAUAAAACAGAAGAACAACGUGGGAGCUAUUGAGAAAGAGAAGAGGAACUGAGAUGACCACAGAGUCCUGGAAUGCAUUACCAACCCAAGUAUUAGAAAUUCAUUAUUUGAGUUGUGCCACAAAGUUCAGCUUAAGUGCUAUCUUCUUCCACAGCUAUUUCAGCCCAAAGGCUCUCCUUUCCUUCCCCAACCACAAGAAUAUUUCCUUGUGGGACAGAGUCAGUGGUUGGCACCCACAGAGGCAUGAGAGCCAGGCUGUC